UCUGCGAUGGCCGAGUGGUUAAGGCGUUGGACUUGAAAUCCAAUGGGAUCUUCCCGCGUAGGUUCGAACCCUACUCGCAGCG
rnacentral:tRNA from 1 species